rnacentral:rRNA from 1 species
UGGGUAAUCUUUGAACGUGAAUCGUGAUGGGGAUAGAUGAUUGCAAUUAUUCAUCUUCAACGAGGAAUUCCUAGUAAACGCAAGUCAUCAGCUUGCAUUGAUUACGUCCCUGCCCUUUGUACACACCGCCCGUCGCACCUACCGAUUGAAUGGUCCGGUGAAAUCUUCGGAUCUGAGAGAUGUCUGAUUAAUUUCGGACGCCUUUUGGAAAAGUUGCUUAAACCUUACCAUUUAGAGGAAGGUGAAGUCGUAACAAGGUUUCCGUAGGUGAACCUGCGGAAGGAUCAUUA